rnacentral:rRNA from 1 species
UGGGGAAUAUUGGACAAUGGGCGGAAGCCUGAUCCAGCCAUGCCGCGUGUGUGAAGAAGGCCUUAUGGUUGUAAAGCACUUUAAGCGAGGAGGAGGGUACUGGUAUUAAUACUACCAGGUACUGGACGUUACUCGCAGAAUAAGCACCGGCUAACUCUGUGCCAGCAGCCGCGGUAAUACAGAGGGUGCGAGCGUUAAUCGGAUUUACUGGGCGUAAAGCGUGCGUAGGCGGCUAAUUGAGUCGGAUGUGAAAUCCCCGAGCUUAACUUGGGAAUUGCAUUCGAUACUGGUUAGCUAGAGUGUGGGAGAGGAUGGUAGAAUUCCAGGUGUAGCGGUGAAAUGCGUAGAGAUCUGGAGGAAUACCGAUGGCGAAGGCAGCCAUCUGGCCUAACACUGACGCUGAGGUACGAAAGCAUGGGGAGCAAACAGG